AACGAUAAAAGAGCGUUGUGUAGCUUCAAUGACAACUGUUCUUUCCUUGGCUUCUGAUACUUCAACACGGCCCCCAAAGUAUCUUAAGCCUGCAAUCAAGAGAACCAAAUAAGCAAUGGCAAACCACAUGACAUAUCCCUUUUCGGUUACAUGUUUUAAUGAGGAUAAAGGAAAGUCAGGCAGGAAUCAGUAAAAGUUCAACUAAAAUGGUACACCAAAAGAUGCAAGACUAUAUUGUUAGCUUUUCAGUAUACAAUUGCAAAUAAAUAUGACCACAGUUACACUUUUAAGGUAGUAAUGGCAGAAAAAUUAGCACUCAAAAGCGUCACAUCCUCCCAAGAGUCAUGGGAUUCCAGUUAAUGGAUAAUGGAUAUUCAGAGGAGGCAUAAUCAAUCAUUUCAGUUACCCUUCAUAGAAUAAAUGGCUAUCAAAGAUAAGAAACCAGCCAUGACUUCAGUAGGCACAUAUAAACCAUUUCAGUUACAGAAUCAGCCUAAUGGCAACAAUAAAGGGCAAUCAUGGAGCAUAAACCUUCCAGGUUACUGGAUUAAAACGGGCAACCUAAGGGUCUGCCUUCAAAUGAUUAUAAAAGGAGACACUACCAUAAAAAAGGGACGACGUUCAGUAAAAAAGGCAGAGAAAAAAUAGAUAAAGAGAGUGACACUCAAAGAAAUCCAAUAUCAUACCAGUUCAUACGACCAUAACCAGGGAGCAAUCACUAUACCUAUAUCUAAACAAAAGCAAUCUGAAGAUAGAGUCAUACGUCACAUGCGUUAUAAACCAGAAGGGUAGGGACGUACACAUCAUACAGCAACAAAAAGCAUAUACUCAGGUAAGCAUUCAAACCGUAAUAAUGCUGUGUUAUGAACAUACCAUAUUUUAUACGAUUAUACAUAUUGGGUUGGUUUCAGCAAAACGUAUAUUUACUUAAGUAAGAAAACGAAAUAGAGUGAAGUAUAUGAUGUAUUGUUAUAACCUUAAAGCAGGAUAAUAUGACUUGUGUCCAGGUUAAAUUUUAACCAAAUCUAUUCCUCACACAUACAAAACAUUCCACAGAGAUUACACACACCCAUGCCGAUUGGGAGCAUAUGAUAAACACAAAGCAAUCCUUUCGACUUGUUCUCAAUAAAUUAAUAUACUACCUUAUUAUCAUAUGCAUGUCACCCAUUAAUUUAAGCAUUGAAAGAUACAUAAAAGCAAACAGAAAGGGGAUAUUAUAUCUUACUGGUUCUCCUUGCCUCAACCAUACGACCUAUGGCUCCAAUGGCCUCCUUCUUCACCGAUAUCGUAACCCUCGCGUUUGGGGAUCUUAGGAAUCCUUUGAGCACCGCAAUCUCGCCCAGAAACCCUGCAUGCAGGAGAUACAUAAGGGUGAGUCGACACCCCCGAUCAAGCUGCGAUCUAACAUCACCAAAGCCAAUCGAAUCAGAGAUGAAAAAAGCAAAUAAGGGGACGAGUUUUACCUUCAUUGUCGAAAGGGAGUAGAGAGGAUGAGAGGACCCGAUCGUGAAUAACCUCCUCCUCUAAGGAUAGUCGCGAUCCGAAUCGUAAAUCAUCGCCAACGAAUAAGGGAAGAAAGGAGAGGAGAUACCAGCAGAGGUAGAAGCCGGGGCUGAACCACAGGCAGCGCGAGGACCUCCACCACGAGGCUGAAACGAGGUCAUUGGAGGAAGAACUGAGAGUUAGGGAUUCAGAUUCCCUUCUCCUUUUGCAGCUGAAGAUGGGUGCGAAUAAGGGGAAUCCCUUCUUUUUUUAGGGAUUUCAUUCCCUGGUUCCUCUCAAUUACGUGAAAAUGGGAGGGGAUAACCCAUUUUCUCC
rnacentral:lncRNA from 1 species